rnacentral:miRNA from 1 species
CGUGGUGGGGGGGGGGGGG